rnacentral:lncRNA from 1 species
AGCCUGAGGAUGUCAGCUACAGAGAAAGGGGUGGAGGCCACAGGACUCCGCAGCAUCUCGUAGCCCAGGGGCGGAGCUGACAAGUUCUCGACCACAGCCCAGGUGUUGCGCACCCAACUUUCCCUUCUGUGGUGGCAGUCCUAAUCGAUUCCAGGAUGCACACUCAAGGACCUGGACGGCGUUUUCCCUUGGCUGAGGCACCCGGACCCGGUGAUAAGAUCGCCGUCUUCCAUUGGUUCCCACGGAAACCACGUGCUAACCCUGAGCCUUCCUACCCAAAAGCUGACAGAAAACAUAACCCUAAGAGAGGCUUUACCCAGAAACAGAUGGAAACAGAUUCAGAGACCCACAGCCAGACAUUAGAACACUUCAGUAGAAUGUGGAAACAGGUAUCAUUGCAAGCAAACCCAGGAGCGUCUCCGGAGGGAGAACGGGAGAAUGGCAGUGGAACCUGUUUGGAGCCUCAUGAGUCUCCUCGCACUUUCAAGCUAAGCCGAAUGCAGCUGCUUGGCGACCAUAUCAUCUGUAUUCCCCCUACAAUUUCACUCAGUGUAUUUCUUAUGCUUAUUCCUAA